GGGGGGGGGGGGGGGGGGGGGGGGGGGGGGGGGGGGGGGGGGGGGGGGGGGGGGGGGGGGGGGGGGGGGGGGGGGGGGGGGGGGGGGGGGGGGGGGGCAGGUUAUUCACAGAGGGGAUAGAGCAGGUCAUUCACAGAGAGGAUGAAGCAGGUUAUUCACAGGAGGGGCUGGAGCAGGUCAUUCACAGGAGGGGAUGGAGCAGGUCAUUUGCAGAGGGGCUGGAGCAGGUUAUUUACAGAGGAGCUGGAGCAGGUCAUUUUCAGAAGGAGCUGUUUGCCCAUCCCAGGCAGGGAUGCAUCCCGCAGUUCCAGCCGGGAGCUGCAGAUGGCAGGGUUGAACUGCAUAGCCCAGCAUCUCCCGCUCCUUGCUCCUCAGACCAGCAAACGCCUUCAGCACAGGCGCCAAGGCACAGCAGCACCGCGUACGUGACACUGGAACACCUCGCUCAAAGCUUGCUUUGGAGCUGUUAAACCCCUCUUGAAAAAUAGAUUCUUCUUCCCCACAAACACAGACCCAAUGUUGGUACAACAGGGGUUACCCUGAAGGUGCUGCAUCCGCUCCUUCUGCACACAGAAGAGUUAAAAUGGUACAGAGAAAUCACCGAAGGUAAUGAAGUCUUCUGAGUAGCUUCUGGUUGAGGAAUCAUUAAACAUAUAAGGUUAUCUUAGUCUGGAGAGGAGCUGCUUUCAAUGGUGCUGGACAGCAGGUGCAUAAAAAAGACCAUUCAUUGUCCUGUAAUAGAAGAAGCAGGAGCAGCAGGUAAAGUACUUGCUGGAGUGUUCAAAGAGGCCAGAUGAGGUGCUGCUUUCCAUGGCCUGGAAUGGUGGAGCUCAUCUCUGUGGGGUGCUGGGGCUGCCAAAUCUUUGAAAAGUGGUUGGGGAGCUUCACAGAUGGGAGUCAAUCAGGGGGUACCCUACUCAAAGGCAUCCCCUCCUGUUUAUGUGGAAGUCAGUUCCAGGCAUUAAACCCUUCCCAGGGACUGCUGUUGGAGCCAGGAGACUUUCAGCUGGCCUGAUGCAGCACUUUGGUGGCCCUGGCCUGGGGAUCCAGUUC
rnacentral:lncRNA from 1 species